rnacentral:rRNA from 1 species
UACGAAGGGGGCUAGCGUUGCUCGGAAUCACUGGGCGUAAAGGGUGCGUAGGCGGGUCUUUAAGUCAGGGGUGAAAUCCUGGAGCUCAACUCCAGAACUGCCUUUGAUACUGAGGAUCUUGAGUACGGGAGAGGUGAGUGAAACUGCGAGUGUAGAGGUGAAAUUCGUAGAUAUUCGCAAGAACACCAGUGGCGAAGGCGGCUCACUGGCCCGUAACUGACGCUGAGGCACGAAAGCGUGGGGAGCAAACAGG